GGGGGUGUUCAGGCAUUCGAUUAUUAAAUGUUUGGAUCCAACUACAGCCGCGAAGGACACGCGUUAUCACCAACUUAAAUUAAUUGCAAAAACUAAAUUAGCUAAUGUAUUUGGUAUGAACCAAAGCAUGGCAUUCGCUGCUUAAUUUUAGUCUACGUUUGACUUGCAGCCCGUUUGUUAGGUUUCGCUUUCUCAUCUAACAUUCUGUGAUCAGCCAAGAAGCUAGGAGUAGGAGUUGACUAGUUCCCGAAUCCGAAAUAAAGGUUAGUCGCCCCAAUAGAGAUUUGUGCCUAUCCAAAUCUAUUGGUUAACAUGGUAGGAUAAGCUGUAAACGUUGUUUCGUGGGACUUUGGUAAGACAGGAGUUCGAUUCUCCUCACCUCCACCA
rnacentral:tmRNA from 1 species